rnacentral:rRNA from 1 species
AUUGAACGCUGGCGGCAGGCUUAACACAUGCAAGUCGAGCGAGCGGCGGACGGGUGAGUAAUGUCUGGGAAACUGCCUGAUGGAGGGGGAUAACUACUGGAAACGGUAGCUAAUACCGCAUACCAUCAGAUGUGCCCAGAUGGGAUUAGCAAGUAGGUGGGGUAAUGGCUCACCUAGGCCACGAUCCCUAGCUGGUCUGAGAGGAUGACCGACCACAAUGGGACUGAGACACGGUCCAGACUCCUACGGGAGGCAGCAGUGGGGAAUAUUGCACAAUGGGCGCGAGCCUGAUGCAGCCAUGCCGCGUGUGUGAAGAAGGCCUUCGGGUUGUAAAGCACUUUCAGCGAGGAGGCGUUACUCGCAGAAGAAGCACCGGCUGACUCCGUGCCAGCAGCCGCGGUAAUUC